UGCGUAGGCGGGGCAAUUAGUCAGUGGUGAAAUCCUGCGGCUUAACCGUAGAACUGCCAUUGAUACUGUUGCCCUUGAGUAUAGUUGAAGUGGGCGGAAUGUGUAAUGUAGCGGUGAAAUGCAUAGAGAUUACACAGAACACCAAUUGCGAAGGCAGCUCACUAAGCUAUAACUGACGCUGAGGCACGAAAGCGUGGGGAGCGAACAGGAUUAGAUACCCUGGUAGUC
rnacentral:rRNA from 1 species